AAGUCGUAACAAGGUUUCCGUAGGUGAACCUGCGGAAGGAUCAUUAACAAGUCCGUGGGGCCCGCCCCGACACACGUGCCGUGCUGCAGCAUUGCGAUGCGCAGCGGGACUACAUUAUCUUUGACUGACUUGCAGCGCAACCGAAACAACUUUUAACAAUGGAUCUCUAGGCUCCU
rnacentral:misc_RNA from 1 species